rnacentral:tRNA from 2 species
GCCCGGGUGGUGGAAUUGGUAGACACAAGGGACUUAAAAUCCCUCGGAGGAAACUCUGUACGGGUUCAAGUCCCGUCCUGGGCACCA